AGAGUUUGAUCAUGGCUCAGGAUGAACGCUAGCGGCAGGCUUAAUACAUGCAAGUCGAGGGGCAGCAGGUUUGUAGCAAUACAGAUGCUGGCGACCGGCAAACGGGUGCGGAACACGUACAGAACCUUCCUUUAAGUGGGGAAUAGCCCGGGGAAACUUGGAUUAAUACCCCGUAAUAUGAUAGAGUGGCAUCACUUUAUUAUUAUAGCUCCGGCGCUUGAAGAUGGCUGUGCGGCUGAUUAGGUAGUUGGCGGGGUAACGGCCCACCAAGCCUUCGAUCAGUAACUGGUGUGAGAGCACGACCAGUCACACGGGCACUGAGACACGGGCCCGACUCCUACGGGAGGCAGCAGUAAGGAAUAUUGGUCAAUGGACGAAAGUCUGAACCAGCCAUGCCGCGUGGAGGAUGAAGGCCCUCUGGGUUGUAAACUUCUUUUAUAUGGGACGAAAAAAGAUCUUUCUAGGUCACCUGACGGUACCAUAUGAAUAAGCACCGGCUAACUCCGUGCCAGCAGCCGCGGUAAUACGGAGGGUGCAAGCGUUAUCCGGAUUCACUGGGUUUAAAGGGUGCGUAGGUGGGUUGGUAAGUCAGUGGUGAAAUCUCCGAGCUUAACUUGGAAACUGCCAUUGAUACUAUCAGUCUUGAAUAUUGUGGAGGUCAGCGGAAUAUGUCAUGUAGCGGUGAAAUGCUUAGAUAUGACAUAGAACACCAAUUGCGAAGGC
rnacentral:rRNA from 1 species